UACGUAGGGGGCUAGCGUUGCUCGGAAUUACUGGGCGUAAAGCGCACGUAGGCGGCUUUCUAAGUCGGGGGUGAAAUCCUGGGGCUCAACUCCGGAACUGCCUUCGAAACUGGAGAGCUCGAGUCCGGGAGAGGUGAGUGGAACUGCGAGUGUAGAGGUGAAAUGCGUAGAGAUGCGGAAGAACACCAGUGGCGAAGGCGGCUCACUGGCCCGGUACUGACGCUGAGGUGCGAAAGCGUGGGGAGCAAACAGG
rnacentral:rRNA from 1 species